rnacentral:rRNA from 1 species
GGGGGAAUUUUCCGCAAUGGGCGAAAGCCUGACGGAGCAAUACCGCGUGAGGGAUGACGGCCUAUGGGUUGUAAACCUCUUUUUUCAGGGAGGAAUAAAUGACGUGUACCUGAAGAAUAAGCAUCGGCUAACUCCGUG